UUGAGAAAUAAAGUUUUUAAAUAAAUUUUCGUAUUUACAUAUGUUAAUUUGCUUCUUUGCUUAUUUAGCGCAGCCAUGGCAGAAAAAAUCAAGUGGACUCAAGCGGAGAUUGAAAAUCUAAUAAAUUUGGUGCAGCAGUAUGAGUGCAUCUAUAAUGUAAAGUGUGCAGGUUAUUUAGACCGCAACGCCAAAGCCCAAGCGUUUAAUAAAAUCUGCGAAGAUUUGGAAAUGCCGUUAUUAGACGUAAUAGAAGUGAAGAAAAAGUGGAAAAAUUUGAGGACACAGUUUUUGAGAGAGAUGCGAGAGUUGCGGGCUUCUAAAAAAAGUGGUUCAGGACUCUGCGAUGUGUACACACAAAAAUUGUGGUGUUAUACACAAUUACAAUUCCUUGAAGCCCACACACAAAUAAGGAGCGGACAGAGUAAUUAUGAGGUAAUAUUUUAAUUUUGUUUCUCAUGUUUAUUAAAAAAUACAUGUUUUACUUCUAAGGAUGUAACCCCCCCGCCCGAAAGCCCAGGAGGCACCUCGUCUGGUGUCUCAAAUUUUUCCCAGUUCAGCCCAGGAGCCCCAUCGAGUAUUUCUCAUUCUUCCCCACUAAGCCCACAAACGACUUUAAGUGAUUUUAUUGAUAUAAGCACUGAAGCGAGUAGCAGUGGCGCUAGCGAGCCACAGAAGAAACGGGCAAAGGACGGUGCACUGUACAGGUUACGGAAGGAUUUGGCCUCAUUCAAAGAUAGAAUCUGCGAAAAGCGCACGAAGCCAUUUUCUUGGCUGGGGAACUUGGUAGCAACCCAAAUGGAGGAAAUAAUUCCCGAACAGCAAGACGACGCUGCGUGGGAGGUUCAAUGCCUUAUGCGAAGAUUGGUGCAAAAAUCUAAGAACGCCCCAUCUUCGCAACCUGUUUCGUGUGACCUGCUUCAAGAUGCAAUGAGUGGAGUCUUUGAUGAAACUGAUUUUGAAUGACUGUAAGUAAUAUGGAUGUCCGUUCUAUAAAAGCAAAUCAAAAACGUUUAUUUUUUAUUUUUAUUUUUACAGCUCCUUAUAAAAAUUAGUGCUGUGAAAUGGAAGAAGUACCUGGAAUGUGUAUUUUUAACCGACUUCCAAAAAAGGAGGAGGUUAUCAGUUCGUCGGAAUUUUUUUUAUUUUUUAUUUUUU
rnacentral:lncRNA from 1 species